rnacentral:rRNA from 1 species
GACGAACGCUGGCGGCGUGCCUAAUACAUGCAAGUUGAGCGCUGAAGGUUGGUACUUGUACCGACUGGAUGAGCAGCGAACGGGUGAGUAACGCGUGGGGAAUCUGCCUUUGAGCGGGGGACAACAUUUGGAAACGAAUGCUAAUACCGCAUAAAAACUUUAAACACAAGUUUUAAGUUUGAAAGAUGCAAUUGCAUCACUCAAAGAUGAUCCCGCGUUGUAUUAGCUAGUUGGUGAGGUAAAGGCUCACCAAGGCGAUGGUACAUAGCCGACCUGAGAGGGUGAUCGGCCACAUUGGGACUGAGACACGGCCCAAACUCCUACGGGAGGCAGCAGUAGGGAAUCUUCGGCAAGGGACGAAAGUCUGACCGAGCAACGCCGCGUGAGUGAAGAAGGUUGUCGGGUCGUAAAACUCGGUUGGUAGAGAAGAACGUUGGUGAGAGUGGAAAGCUCAUCAAGUGACGGUAACUACCCAGAAAGGGACGGCUAACUACGUG